GGCGUCGUGGCCGAGUGGCUAGGCAGCGGUCUGCAAAACCGUCUACAACGGUUCGAAUCCGUUCGUCGCCUCCA
rnacentral:tRNA from 1 species